ACGUGAGGAUCUGAAAAAAUUCUCUUUCCGCUUUGAUGCCUUUGUUGGGAUUCGUGACAACCUGUUACCUGGGGUUAAAGUGCAUUUCACUGCUUACAAGGAAAAGGGAAAAGAGUGUGCCACUGAUAUUUGUGUGCCUCCUGGUGGUACGGAGGAGUUGAAUGCCAUGACUUUUGAAGGAGUUGUCAGCAAGGCCAUACAUGAUCCACAGGCCUCUGCAAAAGACCUGCAUCCAGGAAGAAUCAAAGCCACUGUGUUUGAGAAAGCAAUGGAACUGCCUUUUGGGGUCAAUGACUCCACAGUUACUUUACUGUCCAGUGACCGUGUACAAUUUA